GCACCUUACAGUUCAAACUGGCCGCUCCUGUUUACUGCCAUUCUAAAAGGCGUGUUAGAUAUCAUAUGAAACGUUUGGAAUACCACUAUUUUACCCAAACUUGUUUUAUUACGUCUAAUAAUCAAAUUGGAUGCCACUUGCUUUUAGCAAUGAUUUUUAGGUUACUCUGACACUGUUUUGACGUAUGUGGUUUAAGGCCCGUUUUCAAAGUCUACUUUAGUAACUGGCAUCCAUUAGUUCCUUCUAGUAAAUGAAAAUGAAGUACCAUACUUUCAUUAACCCAAUAGAUUUGAAUGAAGAUGAAAUGUAUCGAAAAAAAGAUAAUACAUUUUUAGAUUUGUGUUGUCCAUGUUUAAGAAAAACUGAAUCACAGGACCGUUUCAUUCCUAUAGAAAUCCUAUCUUUUUCAAAUUC